AAGUCGUAACAAGGUAACCGUAGGUGAACCUGCGGUUGGAUCAUUUAAAAGAUCAAACCAAAAUAUCAGCUCUAACCCGGCUGGUCACACAUUUGUGCACCGUUUAUGUCUUUGGUGGGGGAGUGGCAUCCACGUCGUGGCCGGUUCCGGCUAGGGCGUGGGCACCAAGUGUUUCACUCGUCAGCGCUUCUGCUUGCAGGAGCGCCGUGGACAUCCCACCGUUUUUAUCCAACCUCUGAUUUGUUUAUAACUCUGUCUGAACGUAUUUAUUUUGCGCAUCCGCAAAAUCCAAUAUACAUAAAAACAACUUUUGGCAACGGAUCUCUUGGCUCUC
rnacentral:misc_RNA from 1 species